rnacentral:misc_RNA from 1 species
GGAUAAAAGUCGUAACAAGGUCUCCGUUGGUGAACCAGCGGAGGGAUCAUUACAGGACUCGCAAGACUCCUACAACCCUGUGAACUUAACUAUAAGCACGUUGCUUCGGCGGGUGUCUCGGAGGGGGUUCUCCCUCCCCGAGACGCUAAACCCGCCGGCAGCCUACUAUACUCUGUCUCUUUGCGUUGGCAUCUCGAGUACAAUCAAACAAGUUAAAACUUUCAACAACGGAUCUCUUGGUUCUG